UACGUAGGGCGCAAGCGUUGUCCGGAAUUAUUGGGCGUAAAGAGCUCGUAGGCGGUUUGUCGCGUCUGCCGUGAAAGCCCGGGGCUUAACUCCGGGUCUGCGGUGGAUACGGGCAGACUAGAGGUAGGUAGGGGAGAAUGGAAUUCCCGGUGUAGCAGUGAAAUGCGUAGAUAUCGAGAGGAACACCAGUGGCGAAGGCGAGUCCCUGGACAACACCUGACACUGAGGCACGAAAGCUAGGGGAGCAAACAGG
rnacentral:rRNA from 1 species